GGGCGUAUGGUCUAGUGGUAAGGCGUCUCAGUUGCAAAAAAAACUUGUUCGAUGCGUUCUCUGAAUCUGUUGGAAGACAGGUGAAAAGGGUGCUUGAAUGUUCCAAAUGCUCCAUGAGAAGAUCCCAGGUUCGAUUCCUGGUACGUCCA